rnacentral:rRNA from 1 species
GGUUCGUCACGUCGGAUGUGAAAAUCUGGGGCUUAACCCCAGACCUGCAUUCGAUACGGGCGAGCUUGAGUAUGGUAGGGGAGUCUGGAAUUCCUGGUGUAGCGGUGGAAUGCGCAGAUAUCAGGAGGAACACCAAUGGCGAAGGCAGGACUCUGGGCCAUUACUGACACUGAGGAGCGAAAGCGUGGGGAGCGAACAGGAUUAGAUACCCUGGUAGUCCACGCCGUAAAACGGUGGGCACUAGUUGUGGGGACCUUCCACGGUCUCUGCGACGCAGCUAACGCAUUAAGUGCCCCGCCUGGGGAGUACGAUCGCAAGAUUAAAACUCAAAGGAAUUGACGGGGCCCCGCACAAGCAGCGGAGCAUGCGGCUUAAUUCGACGCAACGCGAAGAACCUUACCAAGGCUUGACAUAUACAGGAAUAUGGCAGAGAUGUCAUAGCCGCAAGGUCUGUAUACGGGUGGUGCAUGGUUGUCGUCAGCUCGUGUCGUGAGAUGUUGGGUUAAGUCCCGCAACGAGCGCAACCCUCGUUCUGUGUUGCCAGCAUUUAGUUGGGGACUCACAGGAGACUGCCGGGGUUAACUCGGAGGAAGGUGGGGAUGACGUCAAAUCAUCAUGCCCCUGAUGUCUUGGGCUGCACGCAUGCUACAAUGGCUGGUACAAACGGCUGCAAUACCGCAAGGUGGAGCGAAUCCGAGAAAGCUAGUCUCAGUUCGGAUUGGGGUCUGCAACUCGACCCCAUGAAGUCGGAGUUGCUAGUAAUCGUAGAUCAGCAACGCUACGGUGAAUACGUUCCCGGGGCUUGUACACACCGCCCGUCACGUCACGAAAGUCGGUAACACCCGAAGUCAGUGGCCCAACCACAAGGAGGGAGCUGCCGAAGGUGGGAUCGGUGAUUGGGACGAAGUCGUAACAAGGUAACC